GCGGCCAUUACUGUGCAACGUAGGCAUUUCCUUAGUCGUCUGCAAGCGGGGAGGACGUAUCUUGCUCGAUAGUUUCAAUUCUUUUGUGUUUAGUUGUGUGUGAAUCUCUUCUAUUUUGUUCUACAACAAACACGAGCCAGAUACAGUCUCACCGUUUGAGAUGGCAUUGGGACAUUUGAGAUGGGACAUUCGGAGGGAGGUGGUGUUCGGAACGAUGCUGAAGCGUACCGCACGAUCGUGGACCGUUCUCUAGUCUCUACGCCUUUCAUUGGUUUGGCAAGAGAUCCGCACAUGUGUCCAGGCUGUUGGCCGUCAUCGGCGACAUUAUUUGGCCUGUCUAUGUAUGAGAUAAGGAGUGACGAGAGAGGAUUGGUAUGGGAUAAACAAAGGGGGAAAAGUCUUUGAUUUUAGAAAAUCGUACAUGAAGUUUUCUGGCUGACGAUGGGUUGCACCCUGAUCAAGUUGUACAUAAACGUCUCAUCACUCUGUGCUUCUGUAUCUUGAACAUCCAAGCAUCAACUAAUUCCAAAAUCGUCUGACGCGUGAUACACAUAGGCUUAUUGUGACAAACUACAGCAAAUUGUAGCAAGUUUUAUUUGGUGAGCUCUAAUCCCUUUUGUUCAUUACCUGUGCAUAUGUGUUUUCUCAGGUCCAGAAAAGUUUUUUCAACGCUUGUACCACCAAGUUGUAUGUGAGUUACUCUGGCUUAUCAAUAUGCCUCGUUCAAAGUUGAGCAAGCUGAUUACUGUCACAGCUCUCUAUCUUCCCAUUUGAAUUAAGAUAAUAAGAGCUUUUUGAGGUAUGGAGUAAAUUGAAUGCAUCUUUGUUGAAUCUAGAUGAUCCAGAAUGGCGAAUUACUGCAAGUAGCACAACUAAUCAAAAUAAUAGACAUGCACAUAUAUGAAAUAUGUUUAAUAUGGAUAGGAAAUUACUUUGAAAUUUGACUUUGCAAUAAUAAAAACUUUGCAAUAAAUAUGUCGGUUCGGAAGUCAUAUUACUAGAUACUUAUUUUCACAGAUUUCAAUAUUCUCUUCACUUAUCCAUUGAUUGAUGUUAGAACAAAUGAAGAACUUCACGUUAUUAGAUUAACAAAUAGAAUGUAUUGUUCCCGACAAAUGGUGUGCAGAAGAGUAAUGGAAAUAAAAGACUGGUUUAUAUUACAGUUCAAGUGACGCGAGAAAGUGCAAUAAUAUUCAUACAAAUUGCGGAUUGAUGGAUACUAUGAAAAAUACUGAUUGUAGGAAAGCAUUGAUGGAAAAUGAAGCCAAAUAUUUUAAAAUUGAAUCCCUAAGUAUAGCAUGUAGAUAAUAUUUUGUGUGUCGAUGGAGGACAAAAUUAUACACAUUUCUUUUUCAAUUCCAAGGAAAUACAUCAUUGAUGAGUCAGUUGUCAAAACAUGAUGGAAAUAGCUUAUUGUUAAUUGAACAAGUUUGAUAUAAUUACACAAGCUAAAGAUUUAACUUAAAAUUUGUUUGGAGAAAUUUAUUUUUACUUAUACAUGAUGUCAAGUGCGGUAUUAAGUAUCAUGCUUUUAUAACUAUUGUUUUAAAUAUUUUUGUGUUGAAAUAUUGUCGUUUGGGUGUCUGUUUUGUACUGCAGGAGUACCCGAAAUCAUUGUACUCGUCGUGUACAGCUAAACAACUACAGGCAGUUGAUUCUAUUCCUGGAAUGCGUUGGAUUCGUGUUUACAUGGUACGUUAAUUAGAAUGAUUUAGAGAUGGGUUACUGGGGGUGUGAGUAAUUAUGUUUCAGCCAGUCUUGGAUAGAGAACGCGUUUAAUCAACGGUUAAAGGUCCGCUUAAAAUACACAUGCUCUGGUAGUUCCUAAUUGGAUUUGUUAUAGAUGUCGUAUAUUUUCUACUAAAUCCGUUUUUGGGAGAUAUUGAUUGAGAUGAAAAAGGUCAUAUUUUUAAAGAGAGGGAGAGAGGUGGUAUGCUUUGGAUAAAGGUAACAAUUUUAUAUGAAGGAUGAUUAUUGUAAACAUUGAAUAUAAUUGGGGAAAAUUGAGAAACUGGUGCAACUUGUUGUAUUAUGAGCUACAGACCUGGUGCUGUGUCUAUCUCUUAUCACUUUAAUACAAUGGAUGAGACAUUUGUAUGGCAUUUUUUGAUAAUGGAAAACGUGUUCGUGCUAUAUGUUUUGCAUUCAAUAACAGGAAAUGGUUCUGCAAUUUCAGUAAUUCAAAGUAUUUGCAGUACAAUGAUAAGUAUAAUACAAUAUAAAUUUGCAUUUUAUCCGGCUACUGAAGGAAAUACUUGUUUGACAAUGGACAGAUCAUUGCUAAGAAAGGAAGAAACGAGCAGAUUGUGUAUCUAUAAUCUAUUCAAAAUUAAGAUCAUCGUUUCACGUUUAAUAUUUUAGAUCUGCAAGAGGUGAUUCAUAUAUCAUUGUGAUGACUGUAUACAUUGAAGCUAUUUGUCCUUGUUAUUUUUGUUAUUUGUGAAAAUAUGUAGGAUAUAUAAUGGAUAAAUAUAGGAAGGAUACAAAUGGUCUUAACUCUUCUGCGAAGGAGAAAGAAAAUAAAGGGUGAUAAGGAAAUGGUCAUAUCAUACAAAUAAUUUCAAUAUAAAGUCAUUUGAAGCAUGGUAAUGAGCAUGGUAGUGUUAAAUUCUUAGAAAUAUAUAAUACCCAAAUAUGAAAUUUGUAUUAUUUAAGUGUUUCAAUAUAUUGGGUAUUUCUGGGUCGACACUUAUAAUUUUUGCUUUAGGAAGUUGAAGAAAAUUACAUUUAUGACAUGAAUUUUAUAAUAAGCCUCCUGCUCUAUGGGAAAGCCAUAUUGUGAAAGGCAUCUAAACAUGUAAAAAUCAAAAUAUAAUCAUUGAAGUCAAAUGUUUUUCAAAUUUAAAAUUGCAAAUUUAAUAUAAUUAUUUUACGGAUUCAUUACGCACAUAAAAUUCGCACGCAAUUGCAUUUGCAUGCAAUCCAUUGAUGCAAAAAUAUUCCAAAUAUAUAGAAUAAUAGUAAUAAAUAUAAACUUUUAUUAUAAAGUAAGGGUAUUCAGAUUGAAGGACAAAUUACACGUGAAUGUGUAAAAAAUGAUUAGUAAGUGGUUUUUGAAUUGUGGAAAUUAUAAAUAUAUCACAGAAAGUAAUAUUAAACGAUCCAGAAAAGCAUUUUCCAAAUGGAAGGACAAAAUGAAUUACUAUUUUACCUUGAUUAACAUUUCGAUCAACGUUUUUUCAUGGAUAGAUAAAUGAAAAAAUAAUUCAGUAUGUAUUAUUUUCAAUUGAACGUUCAACAAAUCUGUAUAUUGUGAAAAUUUAUGCAUGUAUGACAAUUGGAAUAUUUAAAACUGUUAUAUUUCAAAGUAAUCUCAGUGCCAAUGAAAUUGAUUUAUUAAAACUAUAUAUGAAUGUGAGUUCUUAUAUUCUGCUUCAUUUUUUUUUUAAUCAUACUAAAUCUUAUAAAAAGAAUCUGAUUACAAGUUCAUUUGUAUGAACAUUGAAACAUGAAGUAAAACAACAACUAUGGUAUGUUGUAAUCUUCACUAUUUCGUCUAAUUUGAUGUCUUGGUUGUAUGCAACUCCAUGCACCAUUGGAUGAAUAGCUUUCUAUAUUUUCUAACAAAGAAGAAUAACAUUAUUUUAAUAUGAACUAAGAAAUGACUUUGAAACAGAUUUGAAAUUAAUAACUUAAUUACAAUCAUUUAUGCAUUACAACAGUUGAAGAUUUUGGAUAUGAAGAUAUACAACAGAUAUAAGAUUUAUAUAAUAUGCUUCAGAUAUACAUUUUCAGAAUAUACUUGCUAUAUACUUAUCAUUAGUAAAAUGUAAAUAUUUUUAUAGAAAAGAGUAUAAAAUUCGACAUGAUUUCUUUCAUGGCAAACAGAAUAUUGUAACAUUUAUUGCCAAAAUUUUACAAAAGUUGCAUUUUUCUUAAGGGUAGUACCAUUCAUAAAUAGCAAGAUCAAUUUGACAUAUGAAAAGGAUCUGUAUUAGAAUGCAACUUUUAAAGAUUAUCUAUUACUUGGAUAGUAUAAGAGAUAACUAUAUAUAGACUAGAGGAACAUCACAGAAGAAAAGGAAAUAUUUAAUAUUGUGUUCAUUCAAGGAUCAAAUAUCAAUGAUUGUAACAAAUAAUUGGGACGAUUUAAUUGGGAUAACAACUUAAUGUCUGGAAGAUAAUGAAUCAUAAUGUAUAUUCAUGAAAUUUCAAAACCGUUAUCUCGAUUUCGUAAGAUUUGAAAAAGGCCAGCUGUUAAUGUAAAAUUUAAAGGAAACCAACAACGCAGUACCAAUCUAAAAAAGCUACCAACGUAAGAUUU
rnacentral:lncRNA from 1 species